CUCGUGUUCUGUGCUCUCAUCAGGACCUGUACCUACAGGAAGAUACUACUAUCACAGCGUCACAGUUCAGUGAAUUCAUGGAGUCUCCCCAGUGAUAUAUAUCACAGCGUCACAGCUCAGUGAAGUGUCAUGGAGUCUCCCCAGUGAUAAUAUCAGUGUCACAGCUCAGUGAAGUGUCAUGGAGUCUCCCCAGUGAUAAUAUCACAGCGUCACAGCUCAGUGAAGUGUCAUGGAGUCUCCCCAGUGAUAAUAUCACAGUGUCACAGUCAGUGAAGUGUCAUGGGGUCUCCCCAGUGUAAUAUCCCAGCGUCACAGUCAGUGAAGUGUCAU
rnacentral:lncRNA from 1 species